CGGGGUGAGUAAUGUCUGGGAAACUGCCUGAUGGAGGGGGAUAACUACUGGAAACGGUAGCUAAUACCGCAUAAUGUCGCAAGACCAAAGAGGGGGACCUUCGGGCCUCUUGCCAUCGGAUGUGCCCAGAUGGGAUUAGCUAGUAGGUGGGGUAACGGCUCACCUAGGCGACGAUCCCUAGCUGGUCUGAGAGGAUGACCAGCCACACUGGAACUGAGACACGGUCCAG
rnacentral:rRNA from 1 species